GACGAACGCUGGCGGCGUGCUUAACACAUGCAAGUCGAACGGAAAGGCCCUGCUUUUGUGGGGUGCUCGAGUGGCGAACGGGUGAGUAACACGUGAGUAACCUGCCCUUGACUUUGGGAUAACUUCAGGAAACUGGGGCUAAUACCGGAUAGGAGCUCCUGCUGCAUGGUGGGGGUUGGAAAGUUUCGGCGGUUGGGGAUGGACUCGCGGCUUAUCGGCUUGUUAGUGGGGUAGUGGCUUACCAAGGGUUUGACGGGUAGCCGGCCUGAGAGGGUGACCGGCCACAUUGGGACUGAGGUACGGCCCAGACUCCUACCGGAGGCAGCAGUGGGGAGUAUUGCACAGUGGGCGGAAGCCUGAUGCAGCAGCGCCGCGUGCGGGAUGACGGCCUUCGGGUUGUAAACCGCUUUCGCCUGUGACGAAGCGUGAGUGACGGUAAUGGGUAAAGAAGCACCGGCUAACUACGUG
rnacentral:rRNA from 1 species